GACGAACGCUGGCGGCGUGCUUAAAACAUGCAAGUCGAACGGACUUCUCAUGAAGCUUGCGAUUGAGAAGUUAGUGGCGGACGGGUGAGUAACGCGUGGGCAACCUGCCCCUGAGCCCGGGAUAACAGUUCGAAAGGACUGCUAAGACCGGAUAUACUUGCGGGGAAGCAUUUCUCUGUAAGGAAAGGGAACGCUCAGGGAUGGGCCCGCGUCCCAUUAGCUAGUUGGUGAGGUAACGGCCCACCAAGGCGACGAUGGGUAGCCGGCCUGAGAGGGUGAACGGCCACACUGGGACUGAGACACGGCCCAGACUCCUACGGGAGGCAGCAGUUGGGAAUCUUCGGCAAUGGGCGCAAGCCUGACCGAGCAACGCCGCGUGAGUGAUGAAGGUUUCGGAUUGUAAAGCUCUGUCUUCCGGACGAUAAUGACGGUACCGGAGGAGGAAGCCACGGCUAACUACGUGCCAGCACGCCGCGGUAAAAGUGUGUGUA
rnacentral:rRNA from 1 species